GAGGGUAUAGCUCAGUGGUUAGAGUACAUGCUUAGCUUGCUGGAGGUCCUGAGUUCAAUCCCCAGUACUUCCA
rnacentral:tRNA from 1 species